rnacentral:rRNA from 1 species
GGUGUUUGGCACCUCGAUGUCGGCUCAUCACAUCCUGGGGCUGAAGUAGGUCCCAAGGGUAUGGCUGUUCGCCAUUUAAAGUGGUACGCGAGCUGGGUUUAGAACGUCGUGAGACAGUUCGGUCCCUAUCUGCCGUGGGCGCUGGAGAACUGAGGGGGGCUGCUCCUAGUACGAGAGGACCGGAGUGGACGCAUCACUGGUGUUCGGGUUGUCAUGCCAAUGGCACUGCCCGGUAGCUAAAUGCGGAAGAGAUAAGUGCUGAAAGCAUCUAAGCACGAAACUUGCCCCGAGAUGAGUUCUCCCUGACUCCUUGAGAGUCCUGAAGGAACGUUGAAGACGACGACGUUGAUAGGCCGGGUGUGUAAGCGCAGCGAUGCGUUGAGCUAACCGGUACUAAUGAACCGUGAGG